rnacentral:rRNA from 1 species
UACGGAGGGAGCAAGCGUUGUUCGGAUUUACUUUUCUUAAAGGGCGCGUAGGCGGUCAGCACAAGUCAGUUGUGAAAUCUCCGGGCUUAACUCGGAAAGGUCAACUGAUACUGUGCGACUAGAGUGCAGAAGGGGCAACUGGAAUUCUCGGUGUAGCGGUGAAAUGCGUAGAUAUCGAGAGGAACACCUGCGGCGAAGGCGGGUUGCUGGGCUGACACUGACGCUGAGGCGCGAAAGCCAGGGGAGCGAACGGG